GGCAGCUCUGACCCUGGUCCCUCUGCUCAUUUGGACAGUCUCACCAUGCACGUGGAGGAGGAGAAGCAGGAGCCCACAGGCCACAGCAAACAGCCAGCCAGGAAGUCUACCGAGUGGCAUAUUGAAUGCCAGGCCUAAGUCUGUGUUGCUACAAGAUGACAGUCUCACAACAGCAGGAAGCAGAGAAGUCUCUUCACAGUGGAAAGCAUGUGCACCUGUUCCUUAGCCAAUGGCACCUGGACAGAGGAUGGUCACAGUGACCGUGAAGAAUGGCCUUAGCCUCUGCUCCUCACUGAAGUACCUGCAGCUAAGACCCUACAGGUGCCAAGCUCUGACCCAGGAGCCUGGCAUCGUUGUUCCUCUGUAAUCCUUAGCACAUUCCUCUGAAAACUGCAUGGGAGGUGCCCUCGGGACAGACAGAACACUGCUAUAGAGCUGAGACGGAGGAAGCACAGCAGUGUGGCCUGGAGCUCAUGUCUGAGGGUCCCUGGGCCCCAGAACUUACAUGGCUGGAUGGGAGGUUGCAUCUCUCACACCACUCCAUGGUUCCGGGGGCUCUGGAGGAGCAAAGCGCAGUGGUCCCACAGGUGGCUUGGCAAAGGGGAUCCCUAGGAAGGUGUGGACACCGACAUCGCUGUCUUUCACAUGGACAAGGCUUCCUCUCACCUGCCCUGUGUGUGUGUUCCUGAUGGGGCUGGCUGAGUCCUUGCCUGUAGGUGGAGAGAAGCCAUCAUUUGUGAUACUUGGGAAUUCCUGCCUCAUCAUCACUGUGGUACAUGGUGAAGGUAACCUGGGUUCUCUCAUUUCAGCUGUGGCAUGUGGAGAUGAGGCUUUCUGUAUUUCCUAGGGCCAGAAACCUUGUCCUUUGGCCCUCUUAAAAAUUGUCAGCAAAGUGUCAUGUUCAGAGCUACUUGGGAUUAUGAAGGAACUAUUGCCAUUAUCCAAGGUCACUAGGAGCUCCACUCAUAACCACACAUGGAGGAGGGACAUGUCCCUUCUGCUCUUCUGUCCCUUCUGGGUCCCCAUCUUAGACAUCUGAUCCUCCAUGUGCCACAUGGCCCACUCUGUGGGCUUUGGUGUGGGCAUUAGAGGGCACACAAAUCCACACUUUCAUCUGUCGUCUCCACCAGCUCCUCCCUCCCUGAUGUUUCCCUCCCACGAGCUCAGCCUCGGCAGAACUGGGCAGCUCUGACCCUGGUCCACUCUGAUCAUUAGACAGUCUCACCAUGCACGUGGAGGAGGAGAAGCAGGAGUUCACAGGCCACAGCAAACAGCCAGCUAGGAAGCCUAUCGAGCGGCAUGAUUGAAUCCCAGGCAGAAGUCUGUGCUGCUACAACAUUGAGUCUCACAACAACAGGAAUCAGAAUAGCAUUGCCUGUGCAGCGCUGACAUGAGAGCUACUAAGAGAAGCACAGCUGAGACUGCACACAAAGUCCUGGCCUGCUGUGCUGGGGAUCAGGAAAUGAGGAGAUGACAGAAAGUCACCUAAGGACCUAAAAAACCUACAUGCUCUCAGUGUGGACAUUGGGUGAAGCUCCACCUCCCUGGCACCUCCCCCUACCAGCACCACGUUCAACACUGCAGAGUCUGGCAGACCUGAUAAGUUGCAUCAAGAAAAGUUAAAAUCCCCAAAUCAGCCAAUCUUCUGCCGCAGCCCUCCCCAUCUGACCCGCAGGAAUCAGCAUCUCUGGUGCCACCUUUGUGGAUGAGGCCAGGGCAGCAGCCACUCACAGCCACCAAAGAGUGACUUCCAACAUCUUUCUCAGUCAAGUGCUCACCCUGUCCUGUGACUUGCUGCCUGCGCACAAUGGCCAUCCAGACAGCAUCUUUGUCCAUGCAUCUCACUGAGGGCUCCUGCCUGUGGUGACUGACAGUUACUGCAACAGACAAAACCUAUGGAAACGUCCUGCUUAGAGCCUGCCCACACCCACAGUGCUUUAUCUCCAAAUAAAAACCUUACCAUGAAACCCUA